CGUAGGUGGCGAGCGUUAUCCGGAAUUACUGGGCGUAAAGCGUGUGCAGGCGGGCAACCAAGUGGUGUAUGAAAUCUCCCGGCUCAACCGGGAAGGGUUAUGCCAGACUGGUUGUCUUGAGUGCGAGAGAGGAAUGUGGAAUUCCGGGUGUAGUGGUGAAAUGCGUAGAGAUCCGGAGGAACCCCAGAGGCGAAGGCGGCAUUCUGGCUCGCAACUGACGCUCAGACACGACAGCAUGGGGAGCGAACGGGAUUAGAAACCCCGGUAGUCCAUGCCGUAAACGAUGCUAACUAGGCGCUGCGGGACUCAACCCCCGCGGUGCCGCAGCUAACGCGAUAAGUUAGCCGCCUGGGGAGUACGGCCGCAAGGCUA
rnacentral:rRNA from 1 species